rnacentral:rRNA from 1 species
CGGGACGGGUGAGUAACGCGUGGGUAACCUGCCCUGUACAGGGGGAUAACAGUUGGAAACGGCUGCUAAAACCGCAUAACAUGGAGAUACCGCAUGAUAUUUCCAUCAAAUAUUUAUAGGUACAGGAUGGGCCCGCGUCUGAUUAGCCAGUUGGCAGGGUAAUGGCCUACCAAAGCGACGAUCAGUAGCCGGCUUGAGAGAGUGACCGGCCACAUUGGGACUGAGACACGGCCCAAACUCCUACGGGAGGCAGCAG